AUGAACGCUGGCGGCAUGCCUAACACAUGCAAGUCGAACGAGAUCUUCGGAUCUAGUGGCGCACGGGUGAGUAACGCGUGGGAAUCUACCCUUGGGUUCGGAAUAACUCAGAGAAAUUUGAGCUAAUACCGGAUGAUGACGUAAGUCCAAAGAUUUAUCGCCCAAGGAUGAGCCCGCGUAAGAUUAGCUUGUUGGUGAGGUAAAGGCUCACCAAGGCGACGAUCUUUAGCUGGUCUGAGAGGAUGAUCAGCCACACUGGGACUGAGACACGGCCCAGACUCCUACGGGAGGCAGCAGUGGGGAAUAUUGGACAAUGGGCGCAAGCCUGAUCCAGCCAUGCCGCGUGAGUGAUGAAGGCCCUAGGGUUGUAAAGCUCUUUCACCGGUGAAGAUAAUGACGGUAACCGGAGAAGAAGCCCCGGCUAACUUCGU
rnacentral:rRNA from 1 species